rnacentral:rRNA from 1 species
UGCCAGCAGCCGCGGUAAUACGGAGGAUCCGAGCGUUAUCCGGAUUUAUUGGGUUUAAAGGGUGCGUAGGCGGUUGAAUAAGUCAGUGGUGAAAUCUUGCAGCUUAACUGUAAAACUGUCAUUGAUACUGUUCAACUUGAGUGUAAUUGAGGUAGGCGGAAUGUGUUGUGUAGCGGUGAAAUGCUUAGAUAUAACACAGAACACCGAUUGCGAAGGCAGCUUACUAAGUUAUAACUGACGCUGAGGCACGAAAGCGUGGGGAGCGAACAGGAUUAGAUA